UGAGGUCUCCCACCACGAGAGUGGGUAAGGCCCCCGGUAGACGACCGGGUUGAUAGGCCGGAGGUGGAAGCGCGGUAACGCGUGGAGCUGACCGGUACUAAUAGGCCGAGGACUUGACCAC
rnacentral:rRNA from 1 species